GAUGAACGCUGGCGGCGUGCCUAAUACAUGCAAGUCGAGCGAACGGACGAGAAGCUUGCUUCUCUGAUGUUAGCGGCGGACGGGUGAGUAACACGUGGAUAACCUACCUAUAAGACUGGGAUAACUUCGGGAAACCGGAGCUAAUACCGGAUAAUAUUUUGAACCGCAUGGUUCAAAAGUGAAAGACGGUCUUGCUGUCACUUAUAGAUGGAUCCGCGCUGCAUUAGCUAGUUGGUAAGGUAACGGCUUACCAAGGCAACGAUGCAUAGCCGACCUGAGAGGGGGAUCGGCCACACUGGAACUGAGACACGGUCCAGACUCCUACGGGAGGCAGCAGUAGGGAAUCUUCCGCAAUGGGCGAAAGCCUGACGGAGCAACGCCGCGUGAGUGAUGAAGGUCUUCGGAUCGUAAAACUCUGUUAUUAGGGAAGAACAUAUGUGUAAGUAACUGUGCACAUCUUGACGGUACCUAAUCGGAAAGCCACGGCUAAAUACGU
rnacentral:rRNA from 1 species